UCGCCAGUGACAAUUGGCAAUUUAAAAAACAAAAAAAGCCGGUAGAAGGAAGAAGGCCAAAAGAGAGAAGAAUUAACUAGCCAUAAAACUAAUCAUCAAGAAUCCAGAAACAUUUUUUUAAAACAAAAAAAAUGAAGAAUACCCAUUUUCCUACUUAAAGAUACCUCAUCUGAGAAUGCUGCCUUAGCCAUAUCAGUUGCUAGAAGAACAUUCAUUGUCACCACCACCACCAUACGACGCACCUCCACGAUGGUAUGAAGCACCGCAGCCACCAUCAGCACCAUACGAAGCGCAUCCACCAUCACCGCCACCCCAAAUAAUCAUAAUUUCUGUUUCUGACGACGAUGAUGGAAACUAAUUUUUUGAUUAUUUUGUAUUUCAUCUAUCCUAUAUCAAAGAAUACUUGAUGAAACGAAUGGGUAAGUAAUUUUUCAAUUUUUAUAUGAACUCAAAAUGAUAGAGCAAUAUUCAUAACAUUCUACAAGAUAUUCAGAAGUAUAAUAAUGUCUUAUCCAAUAUUUCUCACAGUUUACAGGACAAAUAUAUUGU